AUGGUAAUGAGAUAGACACCACUCACUUGCUCCGACCACACACAGCCUGUGGUUGAUCUAGCCUUCAAUGGCAUCACCCCUUAAGGGUGUUUCUUAAUCAGCACUUGCAAAGAUGGUAAACCUAUGCUACAACAGGGAGAUACAGGAGACUGGAUUGGAGCAUUUUGGGUCAUAAAGGUGCUGUUUGGGAUGCAACAUUGAAUAAGGAUGCCACCAAAGCAGCUACAGCAGCUGCAGAUUUCACAGCCAAAGUGUGGGAUACUGUCUCAGGAGAUAAACUGAUGACCCUGGCUCAUAAACACAUUGUCAAGACUGGAUUUCACACAGGAUUAUUUAUUAACUGGGGGACAAGAUAAACUUACGCAUAUACGAUUUAAACAGACCUGAAGCAGAACCUAAGGAAAUUAGUGGUCACACCUCUGGUAUUAAAAAGGCUCUAUGGUGCAGUGAAGAUAAACAGAUUCUUUCAGCUGAUGAUAAAACUGUUCGACUUUGGGAUCUUGCUACUAUGACAAAAGUGAAAUCUCUAGAUUUUAAUAUGUCUGUUAGUAGUAUGGAAUAUAUUCCUGAGGGAGAGAUUUUGGUUAUAACUUAUGGACAAUCUAUUGCUUUUCAUAGUGCAGUAAAUCUGGACCCAAUUAAAUCCUCUGAAGCUCCCGCAACCAUCAAUUCUGCAUCACUUCCUCCUGAGAAAGAAUUUCUUGUUGCAAAUGGUGAAGAUUUUAAACUUCAUAAGUAUGGUUAUAAUAGUGGAGAAGAAUUAGAAUCCUACAGAGGAUACUUUGGUCCUAUUCACCGUGGGAGAUUUAGUCUUGAUGGAGAGCUCUAUGCCAGUGGGUCUGAAACUGUGGUAGGAAAAAUAUAUGACCUCUGGAAAUGUGUGCUUCCUGAGGAAAAUAGUGGUGACCUGGCAAAACCAAAGGUUGGUUUUUCAGAGACAACAGAAGAGGAGCUAGAAGAAAUUGCUUCAGAGAAUUCAGAUUCCAUCUAUUCUUCAACUCCUGAAGUUAAGGCCCGAGCAUCAGACACAUACCACAAAUAGUAUACAACCUAUAGACUAAAGCAAGCAAGCAGAGAAAAGCAUCAGCCUUCCAGAGUUACUCUCUGCUAAAAGAAAAGACAGACAUAA